rnacentral:rRNA from 1 species
AUUGAACGCUGGCGGCAGGCCUAACACAUGCAAGUCGAGCGAGCGGCGGAGGGGUGAGUACUGUCUGGGAACAUGCCUGUCAGAGGGGGAUAACUACUGGAAACGGGAGCUAAAAACGCGUACCAUCCGAUGUGCCCAGAUGGGGUGAGCUAGUAGGUGGGGUAACGGCUCACCUAGGCGACGAUCCCUAGCUGGUCUGAGCGGAUGACCAGCCACACGGGAACCUGUGCACGGGCCAGACUCCGACGGGAGGCAGCAGGGGGGAAUAUUGCACAAUGGGUGCAGUCCUGAUGCAGCCAUGCCGCGUGUGUGAAGAAGGCCUUCGGGUUGUAAAGCACUGUCAGCGGUGAGGCGUUACCCGCAGAUGAAGCACCGGCUAACUCCGUGCCAGCAGCCGCGGUAAUUC